UGUUGACGGGACAGGUGAAAGGCAACUGUGUGUGAAUGUUGCACUUUGUGGGACGUUGGCAGCAACUGUGGUGGCCGGCUUCGGUGCUGAAGAGGGAAGCAAUUUGCAUGAUGAGCAUUCUGGGCAAACUCCAAUUCUCUUCAGAGAUUGCACCUCGUGAUGUGAACUGAAUAAAAAGGUUGCAACCAGGGAUGGAAAAGUCAGUGAUGAUGUUUCAAACCUUCCAAGCACUGACUACUUAGCCUGGAAGAUACUGUGGACAAGACAUGUCAGAUGAAAAAACAUUUAUUUGAUGUGUUUGUAGUUUGUUCAAACAGGGAUUGGUAAAUGAAUAUUAUUGAUUGAACCUUAAAGAACCAAAGGUAGACAAACAUGUUGGAGAAACUCAGCGGGUGCAGCAGCAUCUAUGGA